CCUACGGGUGGCAGCAGUGAGGAAUAUUGGGCAAUGGGCGCAAGCCUGAACCAGCCAAGUCGCGUGAGGGAUGACGGUCCUAUGGAUUGUAAACCUCUUUUGUCGGGGAGCAAGGCCCGCCACGUGUGGCGGGAAGGAGAGUACCCGAAGAAAAAGCAUCGGCUAACUCCGUGCCAGCAGCCGCGGUAAUACGGAGGAUGCGAGCGUUAUCCGGAUUUAUUGGGUGUAAAGGGUGCGUAGGCGGAAGUUUAAGUCAGCGGUCAAAUGUCGGUGCUCAACACCGGCCUGCCGUUGAAACUGGUCGUCUUGAGUGAGCGAGAAGUAUGCGGAAUGCGUGGUGUAGCGGUGAAAUGCAUAGAUAUCACGCAGAACUCCGAUUGCGAAGGCAGCAUACCGGCGCUCAACUGACGCUGAGGCACGAAAGCGUGGGGAUCGAACAGGAUUAGAUACCCCAGUAGUC
rnacentral:rRNA from 1 species